UACAGAGGGUGCGAGCGUUGUUCGGAAUUACUGGGCGUAAAGAGUGCGUAGGCGGAAUAAUAAGUCAAAUGUUAAAUACUAGGGCUUAACUUCAGACAUGCAUUUGAUACUGUUAUUCUAGAGUAUGGAAGAGGAAAAUAGAAUUUCUAGUGGAGGGGUGAAAUCCGUAGAUAUUAGAAAGAAUACCAAAGGCGAAGGCAAUUUUCUGGUACAUCACUGACGCUGAGGCACGAAAGUGUGGGGAGCAAACAGG
rnacentral:rRNA from 1 species